rnacentral:misc_RNA from 1 species
UGCGGAGGAUCAUUACCGAACCGUCNACACGAGUUGUUGCUGGCCCCUCGAAAGGAGGGCAUGUGCACGCUCUGUUUACAUAUCCACUCACACCUGUGCACUCUCUGUAGUUCUGUGGC